GCGGGGGACUAAAUAAAAUAAAAUAGGCAUCAUUAUAUACAGCAAAUUGUUCUCUGCUCUGCGUAUUAUGUUUAUUCUGCACUAUCCUCAGUUGCUAUCAUAUACUCCGAUACUUAAAAGGUCUCCUCCAAUUAGGGUUGCCAACAUUUGCCAACUACUUGCCUGGAGGAUUGCCCCCCAAAAAAAAAAAGGUCACAAUAUUUUAUUCAUUCAACAGUUAUAUUAUCAAAUAUAUAUACUUAUAUAUAGUAUUACACAGUUAAUAGUCCAACAUUAUUUUAUAUAGUUAAUAUAAUUGUAAUGCU
rnacentral:lncRNA from 1 species